rnacentral:rRNA from 1 species
AUUUACAGUCAUACCACCCUGAACACACCCGAUCUUAUCAGGUCUCAGAAGUCAAGCAGGGUCUGGCCUGGCUACUGCUUGGAUGGAAGAACCCCAGGCUCAUGAAAAAG